rnacentral:rRNA from 1 species
ACUCCUACGGGAGGCAGCAGUGGGGAAUAUUGGACAAUGGGCGAAAGCCUGAUCCAGCCAUGCCGCGUGUGUGAAGAAGGUCUUCGGAUUGUAAAGCACUUUAAGUUGGGAGGAAGGGUUGUAGAUUAAUACUCUGCAAUUUUGACGUUACCGACAGAAUAAGCACCGGCUAACUUC